UUUUACCUUCAGGGCGAGGCGAAAUUCCUCACCGGUGGUGAAAGCCCACGAGCUCCAAGAGCAUGAUCUGGUGGAAUACCAGAGCCGACGGUAUAGUCCGGAUGAAAGAAGGCUGAU
rnacentral:ncRNA from 2 species